UACGGAGGGGGCAAGCGUUAUUCGGAAUUACUGGGCGUAAAGGGCGCGUAGGCGGCCUUCUAAGUCGAACGUGUAAUCCCCGGGCUCAACCCGGGAACUGCGUCCGAGACUGGGAGGCUAGAAUCCGGGAGAGGGAUGUGGAAUUCCAGGUGUAGCGGUGAAAUGUGUAGAUAUCUGGAGGAACAUCGGUGGCGAAGGCGGCAUCCUGGACCGGUAUUGACGCUGAGGCGCGAAAGCCAGGGGAGCAAACGGG
rnacentral:rRNA from 1 species